GUGACAUCCAGCUCCUACUGGUGGAGUCCUAGGGCUGCAUGCCAACAACUGUAUUUCUCCUCCCCUCAACCCUCACGAACUAUAUAUUUUGUUUAUGCAAUUUCAAUGGCUUAGUUUCAUGUGUCAGAUCAUUGUUGCCUGCGUAUUCUUGUCUCCACCACUGAAGACCAAUGGUGACUGCGGGCAGUAUUCAUGCUCUGCUGCAGACUGAUCGUCCUCUUAUAUCAGGCUGAUCGUUAUUGCCCAAUUGGGCAAUGGUUGUCUCCUCUUAUACGAAACGUGAUGCGUGUUGAUCUUCUUAAAUAAUGCCUCUCAUACAUAUACUUCAAAUAUUGGUCAGACAAGAAUAGGAAAGCCUAUAGGUACAAAAUAGAUAGGAAAGCCUCUUUAAUUAUUUCAUUUCUAGGGUUUGAUGUCAAGGAGGUUCCUAUACCAAUGGUGACAGUGGGCAGUAUUCACGCUCUGAUGCAUGUAUGCUUAUCCUCUCCACCCACUCUUUUCCAACUCUCUCCUGUUGCACUCCAUUUUGAUGUUUAGAUCUCUCAAAUCCAUAUGCACUCUUGUUGUGCACUUCAGUGAUUAGGAAUCUAAUGUUUGAUUAAAUUAUAUUUUCAGUUUUUGUGCUCAUGGAGUGCUUGAUGAAUUGCUUGCAGGAAGCGGGAUUUAAUGAUGUACAAUUUUGGAGCUGUUGGUUUAAUUGUUCAAAUGGGAGCUUCAUAGGGGCAU
rnacentral:lncRNA from 1 species